rnacentral:rRNA from 1 species
GACGAACGCUGGCGGCGUGCUUAACACAUGCAAGUCGAACGGAAAGGCCCUGCUUUUGUGGGGUGCUCGAGUGGCGAACGGGCGAGUAACACGUGAGUAACCUGCCCUUGACUUUGGGAUAACUUCAGGAAACUGGGGCUAAUACCGGAUAGGAGCUCCUGCUGCAUGGGGGGGGUUGGAAAGUUUCGGCGGUUGGGGAUGGACUCGCGGCUUAUCAGCUUGUUGGUGGGGUAGUGGCUUACCACGGCUUUGACGGGUAGCCGGCCUGAGAGGGUGACCGGGCACCUUGCGACUGAGAUACGGCCCAGAAUCCUACGGGACGCAGCGGUGGGGAAUAUUACACAAUGGGCGGACGCCUGAUGCAGAAACGCCGCGUGCGGGAUGCCGGCCUUCGGGUUGUAAACCGCUUUCGCCUGUGCCGAAGCGUGCGUGACGGUAAUGGGUAAAGAAGCCCCGGCUAACUACGUG